UUGUUGGGAAAGCAGGAAAGUGAAAGUCCAAACUACCUGGGGGCCAGGAAAGCCUUGGACAAGAACAACUUCCAGAGGGGGAGCACCAGCAUGAGGAAUGUUGGCCAGGCUGCAGCCCAAGGGGCCCAGGGAUCUUCCUGGCCACUUGAGGAUUUGAAAAGUGUGCGUUUGGAAGCAGGAAACCUUCAAACAAGAGCUUCCUACAGAGGGGGAACACAGAACUGAGGCCUGUUUGAUAGGCUGCAGCCUGUUGGUCCCAGGAGAUUGGAUCCAGGAGCUGAAACUCGGGACGAUGCAGAGACAGAGAGAAUUAAAUCACUUCUGCCGCAAGGAAUCAUCACACAGAGAGAGAGAGAAUAAUCAGAAUCUGUCCUGUCUCCUUGUCGUUCAUUUACACACACACACACGGGGAAAAGAAUGGGGGUUUCA